CAAAGGGCUUCGCCGUACUUACACAUGCAAGUCGAACGGGAUCCAUCGGGCUUUGCUUGGUGGUGAGAGUGGCGAACGGGUGAGUAAUGCGUGACCGACCUGCCCCAUGCACCGGAAUAGCUCCUGGAAACGGGUGGUAAUGCCGGAUGCUCCAUCACACCGCAUGGUGUGUUGGGAAAGCCUUUGCGGCAUGGGAUGGGGUCGCGUCCUAUCAGCUUGAUGGCGGGGUAACGGCCCACCAUGGCUUCGACGGGUAGCCGGCCUGAGAGGGCGACCGGCCACAUUGGGACUGAGAUACGGCCCAGACUCCUACGGGAGGCAGCAGUGGGGAAUAUUGCACAAUGGGCGCAAGCCUGAUGCAGCGACGCCGCGUGAGGGAUGGAGGCCUUCGGGUUGUAAACCUCUUUUGUUAGGGAGCAAGGCACUUUGUGUUGAGUGUACCUUUCGAAUAAGCACCGGCUAACUACGUGCCAGCAGCCGCGGUAAUACGUAGGGUGCAAGCGUUAUCCGGAAUUAUUGGGCGUAAAGGGCUCGUAGGCGGUUCGUCGCGUCCGGUGUGAAAGUCCAUCGCUUAACGGUGGAUCCGCGCCGGGUACGGGCGGGCUUGAGUGCGGUAGGGGAGACUGGAAUUCCCGGUGUAACGGUGGAAUGUGUAGAUAUCGGGAAGAACACCAAUGGCGAAGGCAGGUCUCUGGGCCGUUACUGACGCUGAGGAGCGAAAGCGUGGGGAGCGAACAGGAUUAGAUACCCUGGUAGUCCACGCCGUAAACGGUGGAUGCUGGAUGUGGGGCCCGUUCCACGGGUUCCGUGUCGGAGCUAACGCGUUAAGCAUCCCGCCUGGGGAGUACGGCCGCAAGGCUAAAACUCAAAGAAAUUGACGGGGGCCCGCACAAGCGGCGGAGCAUGCGGAUUAAUUCGAUGCAACGCGAAGAACCUUACCUGGGCUUGACAUGUUCCCGACGAUCCCAGAGAUGGGGUUUCCCUUUCGGGGCGGGUUCACAUGUGGUGCAUGGUCACGUCAGCUCGUGUCGCGAGAAGUUGGGUUAAAGUCCCGCAACGAGCGCACCCUUGCCCCGUGGUGGCCAGGGGAUUGGUGCCGGGAA
rnacentral:rRNA from 1 species